rnacentral:lncRNA from 1 species
GUAGCUAGCUAGCUACCAGCUCGAGUGUGCAGGUUUCUCCGCCAGAAUGGUAGAAAUGGACAACGUUGCCACGCUGUGGACUUUUUGUUGAAGAACCCCUUUCAUUCUCUGGGGUACACGGAAAAGGUGCGAAUUAAAAGCGAGGCCCGAUCUCUGCCUGAGAUCAGUUCCAUGAAGAAGGAUGAAAAGGUGAAGGCGUUCAAUACCAACUGGUAUCAAAAGUAUAGCUGGUUAACAGGGAGCCUUUCAUCAAGCCGCCUGUAUUGCUGGCCUUGCCUGCUUUUUGGAAAGUCUGAGCCUUGGUCGAAAGGUGGGUACAGUGACCUGAAGAACAUCGAUUGUUCAGCUAAACGGCAAAACAAAAGCAGGGAGCAUAUAAAUGCCCACAUCAGAUUCAAGCUUCUGGGAAAAAGCUGCAUCGAUUAUGACGAAGGUCUGCUUGUUCAAGAAAGUAAAAAGAAACAGAGAAGUUCUCAACGGCUUAUCAACACUACUACAUUUUUGGGCAUGCACAAAUGUGCUUUAAGAGGACACGACGACAGGCAAAGUUCCGUCAACAAGGGCAACUACAAGGAGGUGCAGAGGGUCCAGAGUUUUCCUAGUUAGGUUAACAAAUAAGGAAACACCCCAGACCCCCCACCGCUUUGGGACCUAUGGUGCCACCAGUCUUCUUGCAGUUGUCAGUUAUCGUCAGUUAAGUCCCCUCCUGUUCCCUGAUUAAGAGGUGAUGACUACUCCACUACCAUUGUCAACUUUCUCCUGAGAUGAACUGAAGCCACGUCUCAUGUGCCCGCUCAUCCACUGGCACAUUGAAUGUCUCAUGCACCCUGAGUACCCCUAUCAAUUUCUCUCAUUACUUCAAAUCCUGUCCUGCACUGGUGAAGCCUCUGAAUAUCUCAACUCAUGCCACAUACCCUCAUUCAAUCACUGCUGUGAUCCCUUUCCAACACUGACAAUGACCCAACACACCUCCAGGCUGUGUAAAGGCUAUUUGACCAAGAAGGAGAGUGAUGGAAUGCUGCCUCAGAUUACCUGGCCUCCACAAUCAUCCAACCUCAACCCAGUUGAGAUGGUUUGGGAUGAGUUGUACUGCAGAGUGAAGUAAAAGCAGCCAACAAGUGCUCAGCAUAUGUGGGAAUUCCUUCAAGACUGUUGGAAAAGCAUUUCAGAUGUCGACUGACCGGCUGCAGAUUGGAUUAGAUUCAUGCUAGUGACGCUGUUACAUUAUGCAGUCAACUGUGACAUGUUUUGCUAUGGCUCUGGGUUGUUUUUAGUUUGUUGUUGCCUGUUAGUACACUGUCGAAUCUGUUACGGAAUUUUAAUGUUUGUGCUUUUCUUAUAUCAAAUUUCUGUGUUCUAUUCAUGUGCUGUUCUGUAAACCAAUUUAUGUGUUCAUGCAAGUGGUUGACUGUACAAAUCCUCACAAUCAAUAGCUGCAAUUUGGCAGUACGCCCAGACCAUGUUUUGAGAACGAAUGAAAGAUAUCUCAGUUUCAAGGUUUUAGCUUAGAGAGAAGAAGCCUCAUGAGAUAUUGGUCUGUCACAUGUUAUGAACCAGUAUUGGUCUGUCACAUGAAUGAAACGGUAAUGAUUAAUGAAUUAUACUAAAUCAUGCAAAUAUAACUUGUCUCUGUAUAGCCUUAUAUAACAAAACUGCUUGGACUGCCCAGGCAAAGCUCCUGAUUAGCAUGUGUACUAUGGUGCAUUGAGUUAGUUGGAACCUCUCCAGCGCGCUAACAAAUAAAUAAUGAUUUAUUUAAGAUUGACUUAGAGUGUCC